UAUUGGCAGAGAUAGCUUCCCAGUUCUCCAAUCACAUUCUAUCGGUUCGGAAGGUUGACGCUCAGUCGCGAACGAUACCUCGGCGAGUAAACACGCGCGAACAACAUUUCUGGUCGUUGAACGUCGCUUGGUCAUCGCUGUGCCGUUGCAGUUGCAUCAGAUGCAAUAACCGAUAUCCAGCGCAAAGUUUUCGUUCGCGUGGUUUGAGGAUGUUUGUUGUUGCUGGCUAUAGGAACAACGUUUGAUGGAACGCUCUUUUAUGUAAUUGGCGACGGUAGGGAAGGAAUAGAAUCGUCUUGGUAAACAUUCCCUUCACGACCUGGAAUCAGCUGGACUUUGCACUUCGUGGGUGCGUGGAUAGUGUACGACUAGUGACGUCAAGUUCUGUUUAAAGUUGGUGACUGGAAGAAUUUGCGCGAAUGGUGUUCUUUGAAGCUUAAAAUGUUUGUAUGCUCUAUCUGAAAAUUGUUGACUGUGGAUUAUCCAACCGAUUCGUAUAAAUGAAUCUCAUAGCCAAAACAAUCAGGGAUUGUUCACCGCGUGUUGUUUACCAAUUAGGUCGAACAGAGUAGAAAAAUAGCUAAACCGAAGUAGGGUAACCGGAGGGUUCGCGAUUUGUGCUUUUUGGUGUCCGCAAGUAAUAGACGCUUGAAGCAGCUGAGGCCGCCCCUGCCUGGCCCUUCGCGGGUUCCUCGUUUGCUGCCGCUCACCUGGCGUGAGCGUGUGCGUGUGGAUCUCUUGUUGGCACAUUGCUUCAAAUAGUCACCUAUAAUGAACGAUCGAACCAAACAGCAACUGCCAGCGAACAGUCCGUAAAGAAGACCUUCCACACCCGGAUCGUGGUUGUCGUUGCCGUCGUCGGUUGCAGUUCAGUGCACAAUAAUUGCCACACUUGGUUGGCGCCCGUCGUCGGCUUUCUUGAUGACGUGACAUGGGCAUGAACGUCAUUUGUAUCAUCGGAACCGCCAAGCCCGAUUCAUCAGCGUUAUUAGUGGAAGCAGCAGCCAGACCGGCGGGCGGAAUUUACAGUGAUAGUGAUAUCGGUUGUAGUAGCUUCCAGCAACAGACAUGUGUCUCCUUCUGAGUAUUAGCAAACAUCGUCAACUCCUGGUUACAGUUCCUGUGUUUUUCGCGUAGUUAAUUAGUUUUCCAGAUUUGA